UGCUUCUUAAUAACUCAUGCACAUUUAUAUAAAUACAAUUCUUUUACAGUGAUGCCCUUGGGAGUUAUUGUACUACAUAGAGCUGUUUGUGUAGCACUAAAUUAUACUUAUUAUACAAAACUGACUGUGGAAAAGGCUGGGUGUGAGGUCAACAACUAAAUUUCAAAUUAAAGAAGUAAACUUUUUCUACAGUUAUUUUUUUCUCAGUAACUUUCUACUUACUGUUGUGUUCAAAAUUUUGUGAGUUUAUAUUCAAAUUGUGCUAUGCGUUUUUUCCAUAAAUUGAAAUUGCUAGAGCAUUGAUUUUGAAGUAAAUGGGUUUUUGCAUCAUCUAAAGAAGGAAACCUGCAAACACCCUGAAAGCAUCAUAUUAUAAAGCACAACACUGGAAAUCACUGGAUUAAGGCAUCCUGUAAUUAAACUGAUGGUUUUGAUGCUUAUGUGGGUCAUUAGCAUCUGUAUUCCGUGUUUUCAAAAUGUCAAAUUUGUUUCCUGCCCUCUAGUAGCAUUGUAUUUUAAUCUCAGCAAGAUGUAUUUUCUUAUUUUUUUUUUAACAUUUUAAUUCAUUUUUGAGAGACAGAGAGAGAACACUAGCGGAGUAAGGGCACAGACAGAGGGAGACACAGAAUCUGAUUCAGGCUCCAGGCUCUGAGCUGUCAGCACCGAGCCUGACAUGGGGGCUAGAACUCAUGAACCGCAAGAUUAUGACCUGAGCUGAAGUUGGACGCUUAACCGACUGGGUCACCCAGGUGUACCAAGAUGUAUUUUCAAAGGACAAAAUAAUAAAGAGGAUUAUUAUGAACAAAUUAAUUUAAACAUUUAUGAUGUGUUUUGAUUUAUUGCAAUAAUUUUCUUAUUAAUGCUCUUGUUUUCCAAUUUUUGACGAAUCAAUAUGACUCCUGAGUUCUUUUGAUAUUACCUUAAUUGUUUUUUUGAUAUUUUUAUUGCUUUUGGUGUGCAAAGAUGCAGGCUUACCUUGUAUAUUUCCUACCUCAACCUUGACAUCACUUAUUUCUCUAAGGAUAUCCAGUUCCUUUGGAGGAAAUGGUAUUUAGUAGCCAUAAUCUUAACAGUUAGAGUGCUCAUUAUAGUCUAGUUAAUCAUAGUUUCCAGGAUUUUCAGUUGACAGAGUUACAUAGCUUUAAGAGAAAUUAUAUCUUUAUUUUAUAUUCAUAUUUUACAUUCAAUAUAAGAAAAAUAUUUUUUAUUUAACUUAAAUUUAUAUUUUUAUCUCUUAAUGUAGAAAAUUUUGGUUCUAUAAUAUUAAUUACGAGUGUUAUAUGUAAUAUAUACUAUAAUUAUCAUAUGUAUAUGUACAUAGUCUUAGAAUUAAUAAUAACAAAUUAUGAACAUUAUUAAAGCAUUUUAAGUACUUUGAAGUUUUUUUUUUUUAAAUAUCUUAGCCUACAUCUCACCAGGAAUAGUAAUUCAAAUUCCUGUGUUUUAAAUGUGUAUUAUUUUUUGAGACAGAGAGCAUGAGCAUGGGAGGGGCAGAGAGAAAGGAGAACAGAGAAUCUGAAACGGGUUCCGUGCUGACCGCAGCAAGCCUGAUGUUGGGCUCAAACUCACAAACCGCGAGGUCAUGACCUGAGCUGAAGUCAGACAUUCAAUCAACUGAGCCACCCAGGUUUUUAAAUGAAGAAGAGCCCUAUUUGAGGAGCCUCAACCAAACAAGGACAUGAUUUGGAUAAUGACACCCUGAAUUUUAGCCUAAGGCCAUGAUGUAGUGAGUUAGAAGUCUUAUAAGUGAGUGUAUUUUGCAUUUGGAAGAGAAUUGUCUGUAAUACCUAGUCUCAAGAUGAUAUAUCCUGGGUCGCCCGGGUGGCUCAGUCGGUUGAGUGUCUGACUGCAGCUCAGGUUGUGAUCUCAAGGUUCAUGAGUUCAAGCCCCACAUCAGGUUCUGUGCUGACAGCUCAGAGAUGUUUGGAACCUGCUUUGGAUUCUGUGUCUCCCUCCUUCUCUGCUCCUCCUCAGCUUGUGCUCUGCUUCUCUCUCUCAAAAAUAAAUAAACAUAAAAAAGAUUUUUUUAAAGAUGAUA